AUUUUAUUUUCUUUCACUGGCAUAAGUUUAAUAGUUAUUUGAAAAAAAAAAAAACUCCUGGAUUUUUUAUUCCCCUGACUUUUUAAAUGUUUAAAAGAUGGCUGUUUCUUACCUUCAUGUGAUUAGGGGACCUUAUGUUAAAUUCUUGAGUUAUGCUUUCUGCAGACUUUAGGUAGACAGAGUUUCACUGGUGAGGUAAAUUUUUUUAAACUGUGAAAUGCACAGAUCUAAAGUUUACAAUUCAAUAACUUUGGACAAAUACAAAGACCCAUAUAAUCAAUACCGAUUCAAGCUACAGGCAUUUUCCUCACCUCAAAAAUUCCUUCAUGCCUUUCCACUUAAAUCUCA
rnacentral:lncRNA from 10 species